UACGAGGGGGGCGAGCGUUGUUCGGAAUCACUGGGCGUAAAGAGUGCGUAGGCGGCUCUGAAAGUUAGAAGUGAAAGCCCUAGGCUCAACCUAGGAAUUGCUUUUAAAACUCCAGAGCUCGAAUUCGGGAGAGGAUAGCGGAAUUCUCAGUGUAGCAGUGAAAUGCGUAGAUAUUGAGAGGAACACCGGUGGCGUAAGCGGCUAUCUGGACCGACAUUGACGCUGAGGCACGAAAGCGUGGGGAUCAAACAGG
rnacentral:rRNA from 1 species